rnacentral:lncRNA from 1 species
AGGUGGCCGGUCGGGCUGGAAGGGCGGGGAUGAGGGAUGGGACGCAUCCCCGGGGGAUGCUCCUCCAAAGCUUUUAUCGGGCGAGCGCAGUGGCUCACGCCUGUAAUUCCUGCACUUUGGGAGGCUAAGGAUGAAAGGCUUCCUAGCACAAACACCACCCCUGGAGUUCCCGGUACAUCAAUACCAGCCUGGGGAUCACGUUCUCAUCAAGAGUUGGAAGAGGGAAAGCUUGAACCAGCUUAGGAGGACCUCAUCUGGUACUCUUGAUGAAUGAAACAGCAAUCUGAAUGGCUGAAAAAGGAUGGACCCAGCACUCCAGACAGUUUCGCUCUUGUCACCCAGGCUGGAGGGCAGUGGCGGGAUCUCGGCUCAAUGCAACCUCCGCCUCCCGGGUUAAAGUGAUUCUCUUGCCUCAGCCUCCGGAGUAGCUGUGAACAUGCCGGAAGAGAUAGGUUCCAGA